UUUUUUUCUUUUUUUUUUCUUUUUUUUCUUUUCUAGCUAGCUAGCUACCUAGCUAUAUACAACAACUGGCAAAUAAACAAAUAAAAAUUGAUAGCUAAAUACAUAUAUUUAUGCGUAAUAAUCCCAAAAGAGAGAGUGGCAUACUAGUUAGCCAAAGUACAGAAAACAACACACAGGGUAGGAUCCGUCAAACAAUAAUCCUCAUCACCCGUUCUCUUUCUCCAACUCGAUUGAUGCCGCAAAUCUCAACAACACACCGUUACAGUCACAGUUUCGUAUCUCAAGAUUUGUCCCAUAUAUGGUGAAAUUGUGUCCAUAUAAGGCAAAUGUUUUCGUCUAGGAAAAAAUAAUGGCGCGACAGCUGCAGCAGAAUGUAAAGGCAGUUCUGGCUCGGAUUUUAAACGUUCUUGCUGAAAAAACUGAAUAUUAUGGGAGUCACAAGGAAUGCUAACUAUAUACAACAGGAUCUUGGGAAGAAAUGACAUUUGCGAUGUGAAUAAUGAGACAUGAAAUGGAUCUACGAAAAGAUUGGCAUACAAAUUUAGCAGCACAUUCUAUGGUCAUAGAGGAAGACAAUAUGUUACCUUAGUUAUAUAUAUUUUUUUAUUUGUUAUAUAUCUUAUACUCGGUAGCAGCAUGAACACUGAAUAUGAAAAAGCUAGACAUGAAACUUAUAAAAACUUAAAUUAAUGUUUGUUCCAAUGCAGUCAAGCAUGUAUAUAUGUAAACCAAAAACAUAUUUGCUUUAUUUUAUGUAUAUAAAAUAAUUUUAUUGAAA